GUAUUAACGAGGUCCAAAAUUGAAGGUGUGACUGGUCGGCCAAUGGUGCAUUUUCACGGUCCUUGCUUGCCCCCGUUGAGAGUCUUCUCGUGCCUCACGUCUCUGCCCCUCUCCCUCUCUCUCUCCGGUGGUUCUGCCGUCCGGCGUGAGGAUGGGUUAGGUGGUUGGCCUCCUGUUCAUAGUAGUUUUAGGUUUAGUAGUACUGUGAGACUUGCCUCCGUGGCAUUUGGCUUUAUGCCGUUUUGGAUCUCUCCAUCGACGCGUCCGGGCAGCGUCUGGUGGUCUCCGGCUGCCUCCCAGGCUUGUCGUCCAUGGUGGACGGAGGCAGUUGGGAGUGGAUCUGGCACGAGCUCUCUUCCCCUAAUAAGCCCGAGGUCUUCUUAGAUAUCGAGGAUUGCCCUCUGCAGCAGCUUGCUCUUUCAGGUCACUUGGGUCGUGGAUGAGGAGCAGGGGUGUUGCAGAUACAUGAAGCUUGCAGGUCGUGUUCGAGCAUAUCAGCAGCUGAUUCCAUGGUGGAGCGACGACGCCCUUGGUUGGCUGCCGGUCUCCGCUGGCUCGCUGCUUCUUCUGGCUGAAUGGCGGCCGAAUCCAUUCCUCCCGGCGUGUGUGCCUUAUGGAAGGCAGAUUUAGCUGCGGUUCAGAGGCCGUGGUGUGCAGCUGAUGCAGCCAUGGCGAUUUCGUCACGCCAAGUGGUUCGUCCCCGGCGGCGGCGAGGUUCAAUCCGGGCGGUGGCUGCUAGGGACCCGAUCGCGUUUCUUGCUUUCAGUUUGGGGUCCUCCAUGUAAAAGUCAGGGGCUUAGUUGCAAUUUCCUGUUUCAUUUGGAUCCUGAUGUAAAAUGUGCUUUGAUGCUUAUCUAAUGAAAGACUGGGUCCUUCGGGACCCUUCUGCUGUUCAAAAAAAAAAGGUGUGACUGGUCACUUGGACGUAUGCAUGGCUUUAUAUGCACUAAAGUUCAC
rnacentral:rRNA from 1 species